CUUGGCGACCAUAGCGUUGUAGACCCACCUGAUCCCAUGCCGAACUCAGAAGUGAAAUACAGUAGCGCCGAUGGUAGUGUGGGG
rnacentral:rRNA from 1 species